GAAAUGCGAUACGUAAUGUGAAUUGCAGGAUUCACUGAAUCAUCAAAAUCUUGAACGCGCAUGGCGCCCUCGGGUCUCUGGAUUCUGGGGCAUAUCUGUUUGAGUGUCAUUUACCCCUCUCACACAAAAACAAGAUACUCUCGUGAUCGUUGUGUGCAGUCCGUGUGGCAGCGCCCAUCGAUUUAAAUUGAGCGGUGAGAAGUUGCUCAAUAACUCCUCGAACAAUGGCUGGGUAAGUCCUUAAUUGAACAAACUAAGCUUUUGGUCUUGGGCUACAGUAGUCGGCGGCGCUUGCCUGCACAGGAUUGCGACACAAAGAGGGGAGCCCCUUACCGGGAUCCCUUUUCUCUUCCGCAACGCAAAACCCUUUGACCUCAAAUCAGGUAAGAAAACCCGCCGA
rnacentral:misc_RNA from 1 species